rnacentral:rRNA from 1 species
GACGAACGCUGGCGGCGCGCUUAACACAUGCAAGUCGAACGGAAAGGCCUGCUUUCCCUUGUGGAUUGCGGGUACUCGAGUGGCGAACGGGUGAGUAACACGUGAGUGAUCUGCCCCCAACUUGGGUAUAAGCCUGGGAAACUGGGUCUAAUUCCCGAUAGGACUGCAGGGUGGUGCCUGUGGUGGAAAACGAUUUUCUAGUGGUUGGGGAUGAGCUCGCGGCCUAUCAGCUUGUUGGUGGGGUAAUGGCCUACCAAGGCGGCGACGGGUAGCCGGCCUGGGAGGGUGGACGGCCGCAUUGGGACUGGGAUACGGCCCAGACUCCUACGGGAGGCAGCAGUGGGGAAUCUUGCACAGUGGGCGGAAGCCUGAUGCAGCGACGCCGCGUGGGGGAUGACGGCCUUCGGGUUGUAAACUCCUUUCGACCGCGAGGAAGCCACCUGGUUGGAAGGGUGGUGACGGUAGUGGUAGAAGAAGCACCGGCUAACUACGUG